rnacentral:rRNA from 1 species
AUACGUAGGUGGCAAGCGUUAUCCGGAUUUACUGGGUGUAAAGGGCGCGUAGGCGGGGGUGCAAGUCAGAUGUGAAAUCUAUGGGCUUAACUCAUAAACUGCAUUUGAAACUGUAUCUCUUGAGUGCUGGAGAGGUAGACGGAAUUCCUUGUGUAGCGGUGAAAUGCGUAGAUAUAAGGAAGAACACCAGUGGGGAAGGCGGUCUACUGGACAGUAACUGACGCUGAGGCGCGAAAGCGUGGGGAGCAAACAGGAUUGGAUACCCUGGUAGUCCACGCUGUAAACGAUGAAUACUAGGUGUGGGGGGACUGACCCCCUCCGUGCCGCAGUUAACACAAUAAGUAUUCCACCUGGGGAGUACGGCCGCAAGGUUGAAACUCAAAGGAAUUGACGGGG